UCCUCUUUCUCUUUUCUCUGUAUUUCUGGCAUCCACCACCAUGAUGAAGAAGAGCAGAUCUCGCCGGCGAGAACACUCUGAUCUUCAAGCUCUGAGGAGACCGUCGUCUUCAAGCUCUGUAUUUCUUUCUUUCUCUCAAAUUCUUUUUGUUUUUAAUUUAAAUUAUUUUGGUGAUUUUCUUGGCUAAAAUUUGGGGGUUUUUUGUUUGAUUCGUUUGUAACAAAGCCAGUAUAUAUCGGUUAUACAAAGAGGUAACCAAUGAAGAAGCGAGGUGCAGCACAAUGAAGUUCAUGGAGGUUUGAGGGAGGUGAGCAUGGAGUUGUUUUAACAUUGACAUUGAAUGACAUGGGAAACUAUGGGUGUUAUCCAGAUUGUGCAGAGGCGAUGUCAAUGCCAUUAUAUACUGAGAGGUUCGUCCUGCUCCUCACAUGGACAAAUUGGUCAGCAUCUACAAAAGCAUGGCAGUUGCUUCGGGAAUUAGUAUGUUUGUCACUUAGAAUGAUCCUGCUACCAAAUUAUCAGAUAGAGAGAAACAAUGUGAAGGUGAUGCUGACUCUGGUAAGAAGGAAGCUGGUGGAACUCAUAAAAAUCAUGCACAAGAGAAAAAAAGUUUAAAGAGAAAGAAGUCAAGGAAGAAGAUUAAUACCAGCAUGAAAAACUCGGGUUCUCAUUUUGCAAAACCUUCUUUUCCAGCAAAGAAAAGGGUUCAGCAAAAAUAUGCAGGAGCUCAUUGCCAAGAAACAAGAGAAAAAUGAAAUUAGUCUGCAGCAGACUCACAAGGAAUUUGUUAAGUGGAAAGCUAUGACUGAAUGUCGCCUUACUGAAAGCAUGGCUUCUUUGAAUGGUGUGCAGGGCAAGUAUGGCGAAUUUAUGAUUUGGAAAACUAGAGUUGAGGAACAACUGGUGGAAAUAACAAAUAAAUUGAGUGAUCUCCAAGCAUCAAGGGAAUGCACCGCUUUUAGUCCUCCUUCAGAAAGAUGGAAAGAUUGGAUAGAAAGCACCAACCUAGACAAUAUUCAGGAAGAUGAAUUUGCUAUGUCAAAAUGCUUGAUGCUUGAUGUGCAAGCUUGACCUUCGAUUAUUUUGCUCAAUGGAUAAAAUCUCCUACUUGUUUUUGAAGGAGUUGCUUUGUAUGUCAAUGAAAAUUCAG